CCUGUAAGACUGGGAUAACUCCGGGAAACCGGGGCUAAUACCGGAUGGUUGUUUGAACCGCAUGGUUCAGACAUAAAAGGUGGCUUCGGCUACCACUUACAGAUGGACCCGCGGCGCAUUAGCUAGUUGGUGAGGUAACGGCUCACCAAGGCAACGAUGCGUAGCCGACCUGAGAGGGUGAUCGGCCACACUGGGACUGAGACACGGCCCAGACUCCUACGGGAGGCAGCAGUAGGGAAUCUUCCGCAAUGGACGAAAGUCUGACGGAGCAACGCCGCGUGAGUGAUGAAGGUUUUCGGAUCGUAAAGCUCUGUUGUUAGGGAAGAACAAGUGCCGUUCAAAUAGGGCGGCACCUUGACGGUACCUAACCAGAAAGCCACGGCUAACUACGUGCCAGCAGCCGCGGUAAUACGUAGGUGGCAAGCGUUGUCCGGAAUUAUUGGGCGUAAAGGGCUCGCAGGCGGUUUCUUAAGUCUGAUGUGAAAGCCCCCGGCUCAACCGGGGAGGGUCAUUGGAAACUGGGGAACUUGAGUGCAGAAGAGGAGAGUGGAAUUCCACGUGUAGCGGUGAAAUGCGUAGAGAUGUGGAGGAACACCAGUGGCGAAGGCGACUCUCUGGUCUGUAACUGACGCUGAGGAGCGAAAGCGUGGGGAGCGAACAGGAUUAGAUACCCUGGUAGUCCACGCCGUAAACGAUGAGUGCUAAGUGUUAGGGGGUUUCCGCCCCUUAGUGCUGCAGCUAACGCAUUAAGCACUCCGCCUGGGGAGUACGGUCGCAAGACUGAAACUCAAAGGAAUUGACGGGGGCCCGCACAAGCGGUGGAGCAUGUGGUUUUAAUUUCGAAGCAACGCGAAGAACCCUUACCCAGGUCUUGACAUCCUCUGACAAUCCUAGAGAUAGGACGUCCCCUUUCGGGGGCAGAGUGACAGUGCUGCAUGUGUCGGUCAGGCUCGUGUCGUGAGAUGUUGGGAUAGGUCCCGCACCGAAGCGC
rnacentral:rRNA from 1 species